AUAUAGCUGACGAGUCCCAACUAGGACGAAACGCGUGUCCUGGAU
rnacentral:hammerhead_ribozyme from 1 species